GGGGCACACCAGCUUCUGCACUGACAUAUCUUGGCUGGUAGUAGUGUGUUUGGCACGCUGUGAAGAUGAGCUCAAAAUGUUGUUUAUUAUGCAUUUUUAGGGAGGAAAUGUGCAUUCAUUGCACUAAGAGAUGAAGUGGAAAAAUAAUUGCAUUGGAACAGCUACAAAUGACAGGCAAGCAUCUACAAAGUAUGCCACUUUCAUAGCUGUUGUAGGGAAGCAGUGUAGGAUAAAGACCAACCAAGAAUGUCCUUGAAGGCACCCCUUCAAUCCUGGACAGACUUACCUGAAUCCAAAUCCUCUAGCGGUCACGGAAAGUGUUCCAUAUUUCAAAAAUAUCAACGUAAUUUUACUCCUACUCCUGCAGCUGACCCAAGGAAAACAGUUGGGUGUGUUGAACUGGUGGCCCUUUGCUCUAUGCUUCAAGAAAGAAGAAUGUCACAUGGCUUAGAGGAAACGUGUGUUGACUGCGAUGUGUUUUUGAACUAUGCCACUGCAUGGUACAUGCGCUAUUCAGAAACUGCCACUGGUACAAAAUACAACAGCUCAGUUAAUCUGUGAUAUGGGUUCCCUAGAAAAGUUCCCAGGACUCUAAAUAAUCUGUUUUAGCACCUUUGGUUUAUAAUUAAUAGCUUCAUUGAGAUACAUUCCUGAAGGGUAGUAUAUAAAUAUCUGUAAGUUAUAGCAAAUGUAUGCUGAGCUGUGAUUUGCUAACCUGAACAAUAAAUCACUGCCCCAACAUAAAAAAGGCCUCCUCAAAAUAUAUAUCAGUGACUUCAUAGGGCAUUUUCAUCUGUGGGGACUUUACUAAUCUAUUGUCCUUCUCAAAACUUUGCACUUAUAUUGUAGAAAGAGAAAAAGAUAGCAGACAUACUGGGAAAUCAUACAGUAACAGUUGGGCGAGUGGGCUUAUUAAUAAAAAACCCUCACCAGAAACUUAUAGCAUAGUAACAUAUUAGCAGCAACGUGACCCAGCAGCAGUUGCCAAAAGUUAUUAAAAAGUACAAAAAUAUACAGAACAAUGUUAUAUCUUCCUUAGGAGGGUUUUCUUUAUAGCAAAAUAAUAUGGUUGCACUAUUUACAAAACAAGGUUUCCAUAAUACAAAUAAAGUUCUUUAUACUUCCUUCUAUGCUUCCACACUGGGCUUCUUUCUCAUGCAGAUAAACAGUUCGCUUUCACAGAGUCUCCUCUUGAUGAGGAACUGAAAAAUAUGGAUUUUAGACAUAAAUUGUAUGCACAUUAGAAGCAGUGAAAUUAGAAAAAUCAGACUCUCUCUGUGUUAGAUUUUAGAGAUUCACAAGCUGACAGGACAAGCUGGGAGAAGGGGGGCCUGUUUUCUAUACAUUCCAGUGUGAAUUGAUUCCUAGUACAGCUUGAUAGGCCAAGAGCGGCCUCUUGAUGGAUCCAGGACCGGUCGGAGAUAAAUUUAAAUAUUAAAGCGGGGGCGCUGAAAAGCGCCCCCCGCCGGCCCCGCCUCCUGCGCCCUGGC
rnacentral:lncRNA from 11 species